AACGAACGCUGGCGGCGUGCCUAACACAUGCAAGUCGUGCGAGAAAGUUCCUUCGGGAGCGAGUAAAGCGGCGCACGGGUGAGUAACACGUAGGUAACCUGCCCCCCAGUCUGGAACAACUAGAGGAAACUCUAGCUAAUGCCGGAUGAGACCACGAUCCCUUCGGGGGUUGCGGCCAAAGAUGGCCUCUACUUGUAAGCUAUCGCUGAGGGAUGGGCCUGCGGGCCAUUAGCUUGUUGGUGAGGUAACGGCUCACCAAGGCUGUGAUGGCUAGCUGGUCUGAGAGGAUGACCAGCACACUGGGACUGAGACACGGCCCAGACUCCUACGGGAGGCAGCAGUGGGGGAAUAUUGCGCAAUGGCG
rnacentral:rRNA from 1 species